rnacentral:rRNA from 1 species
UACGUAGGGUGCAAGCGUUAAUCGGAAUUACUGGGCGUAAAGCGUGUGCAGGCGGUUCGUUAAGUCAGCUGUGAAAGCCCCGGGCUCAACCUGGGAAUUGCGGUUGAAACUGGCGAACUAGAAUCUGGCAGAGGGGGGUGGAAUUCCACGUGUAGCAGUGAAAUGCGUAGAGAUGUGGAGGAACACCGAUGGCGAAGGCAGCCCCCUGGGCUGAGAUUGACGCUCAGGCACGAAAGCGUGGGGAGCAAACAGG